rnacentral:rRNA from 1 species
AUGCGAAUCUCGAAAGCCUGUCUCAGUUCGGAUUGAGGCUGAAACCCGCCUCCAUGAAGUUGGAUUCGCUAGUAAUCGCGCAUCAGCCAUGGCGCGGUGAAUACGUUCCCGGGCCUUGUACACACCGCCCGUCAAGCCAUGGGAGCCGGGGGUGCCUGAAGUUCGUGACCGCAAGGAGCGACCUAGGGCAAAACUGGUGACUGGGGCUAAGUCGUAACAAGGUAAC